rnacentral:pre_miRNA from 8 species
CGGGGCGGGCGGCCGUUAAGACUUGCAGUGAUGUUUAACUCCUCUCCACGUGAACAUCACAGCAAGUCUGUGCUGCUUCCCGUCCCCAC